rnacentral:rRNA from 1 species
UACGGAGGGUGCUAGCGUUGUUCGGAGUUACUGGGCGUAAAGGGUGUGUAGGCGGUUCUUUAAGUUUGGCGUGAAAUCUCCCGGCUCAACCGGGAGGGUGCGUCGAAUACUGAGGGACUAGAGUACGGGAGAGGAAAGUGGAAUUCCUGGUGUAGCGGUGAAAUGCGUAGAUAUCAGGAGGAACACCGGUGGUGUAGACGGCUUUCUGGACCGUAACUGACGCUGAGACACGAAAGCGUGGGUAGCAAACAGG